rnacentral:lncRNA from 10 species
GCACUGGGGACCACUAAUGCCUGCUCUGCCAGAUGAGUUUGCAGACUCUGUGGAACACGGGAGCCACCUAAAUUAUCCCUCUUGGAAGAGAUCACAGAACUCACAGAAAAUACUUGGAAUAUUAGAAUCCAGAACCUUCCUUCCAGAAUACACAAAGCCCUAGUCCAACUCACUCAUUUUUCAAAGGAGAAAAAUUGAGAUACUAUGUGAGUUGCACAGCUAGCUAUGUGCAAAACCAAGACAAGAAUGAGUAAUCCAGCAUGAUGCCAUGGAUCAAUUUCUCACCCUGAGCCUCAACUUCUCCAUUGCAAGAGAAGAAAGGUUGUUCCUCUUCAGAUGAGAACUGAAUUUGCUUGUCUCUGCAGCUCCUCAGGAUUUAGAAGAAUGAAUGUUCAGUGGCAAUCAGCAGCCCAUAUAGACCCACUAGAAACUUAGAUAUUUCUAUAUGGUCAAUUGAAAUAGCAGCAAAGUGAGAGAUGUUUUCUAUCUAUAUGUUUUGGCGGAAAAAAAUGAAGAAAAGAGAAGUGGAUGGGCAAGAACUAGGAAAAUGGGGAUCCUGAAGUAUGCACAAGGUACAGAAAGUCAAUUUUGUCUCUCUCCACCUAAUCAGUCGUUUCACAUCUUGAAUAGAUAGUUCCCAAAAUGUUAAUCAUCACAUUAGCUUCCCUCUAAAUCCUGGCUACUACCAUCCUAUCUUUU